AAAACUCCCAUGUAUGCAUGUAUGUACUUUAAAUUAAACUCAAAGAGUGCAAAAAAUAGAACUAACAAAUUUAAAAUACUAACGGCCAUCAUCCAGCAAAUCAGCACAUUGAGAAGGACUAUAGACCACCUCAGAAUCAUCCGGUCUUUACGAAGCAGCUUUUUGCAAAUCAUAUUAAGUCUGCUAGCAGCAGGAGAGUAGUGGUCAUUCAAAUAGACUCUUAAAUCAACAUCUCCAUCCACAAAAUCACGAACC